AGUGAGCGCUGGCGGCAGGCCUAACACAUGCAAGUCGAACGGCAGCACAAGAGAGCUUGCUCUCUGGGUGGCGAGUGGCGGACGGGUGAGGAAUGCAUCGGAAUCUGCCCAUUUGUGGGGGAUAACCUCGGGAAACCGGGACUAAUACCGCAUACGACCUACGGGUGAAAGCAGGGGAUCUUCGGACCUUGCGCAGAUGGAUGAGCCGAUGCCGGAUUAGCUAGUUGGAGGGGUAAAGGCCCACCAAGGCGACGAUCCGUAGCUGGUCUGAGAGGAUGAUCAGCCACACUGGGACUGAGACAUGGCCCAGACUCCUACGGGAGGCAGCAGUGGGGAAUAUUGGACAAUGGGCGCAAGCCUGAUCCAGCCAUGCCGCGUGUGUGAAGAAGGCCUUCGGGUUGUAAAGCACUUUUGUUGGGAAAGAAAAGCAGCCGGUUAAUACCCGGUUGUCAUGACGGUACCCAAAGAAUAAGCACCGGCUAACUUCGUG
rnacentral:rRNA from 1 species